rnacentral:rRNA from 1 species
CCCUUAGAUGUUCUGGGCCGCACGCGCGCUACACUGAUGCAUUCAACGAGCCUAGCCUUGACCGAGAGGUCCGGGUAAUCUUUGAAACUGCAUCGUGAUGGGGCUAGAUUAUUGCAAUUAUUAAUCUUCAACGAGGAAUGCCUAGUAAGCGUGAUUCAUCAAAUCGCGUUGAUUACGUCCCUGCCCUUUGUACACACCGCCCGUCGCUCCUACCGAUUGAGUGUGUUGGUGAGGAGUUCGGAUUGGCUCUUAGUGGUGGUUCGCCACCACCUAGAGCUGAGAAGUUCUCCAAACCGCCCCACUUAGAGGAAGGAAAAGUCGUAACA